CCUGCUGCUCGCUUUCCUGGGCGUGCUGGCCGCCGUACUCGUCAAGGCUGGCUACUACUGAAGAAUGAUCCUGUUCAGCCUCCUGUUGCCUCUACUGAAUCCCUCCUCUAUUACGUGUGAAUGAACCAAGACAUUUUAAAUCCUGCCAGAAACAGUAAGAGAAUAUGCCAGUGCACUAUGAUCAAACCCGAUGGUCUUUGCCGCUCACCAUUAAUAAAACCUGGUUACAGCUAGACUCCAAGAAUGCC